rnacentral:rRNA from 1 species
GAUGAACGCUAGCGGCAGGCUUAACACAUGCAAGUCGAGGGGUAACAGGAGAGCUUUCUCUCGCUGACGACCGGCGCACGGGGGAGUAACGCGUAGGCAAGCUACCCAUAACUGGGGGAUAGCUUCCGGAAACGGAAAUUAAUACCCCAUAGUAUUAUAAUACCGCAUGGUAUAAUAAUUAAAGUUCCGACGGUUAUGGAUGGGCAUGCGUGCCAUUAGUUUGUUGGUGAGGUAACGGCUCACCAAGGCUAUGAUGGCUAGGGGGUCUUAAAGGAUGGUCCCCCACACUGGUACUGAGACACGGACCAGACUCCUACGGGAGGCAGCAGUGAGGAAUAUUGGUCAAUGGGCGCAAGCCUGAACCAGCCAUGCCGCGUGCAGGAAGACGGCCCUAUGGGUUGUAAACUGCUUUUAUAUAGGAAGAAAUUGUUCUACGUGUAGAGCACUGACGGUACUAUAUGAAUAAGCAUCGGCUAACUCCGUGCCAGCAGCCGCGGUAAUACGGAGGAUGCAAGCGUUAUCCGGAUUUAUUGGGUUUAAAGGGUGCGUAGGCGGGACUAUAAGUCAGUGGUGAAAUUUUGCGGCUCAACCGUAGAAUGACAUUGAAACUGUAGUUCUUGAGUUCAGUUGAGGUAGGCGGAAUGUGUUGUGUAGCGGUGAAAUGCUUAGAUAUAACACAGAACACCGAUUGCGUAGGCAGCUUACUAGACUGUUACUGACGCUAAGGCACGAAAGCGUGGGGAGCGAACAGGAUUAGAUACCCUGGUAGUCCACGCCGUAAACUAUGAUCACUCGUUGUUGGCAAUACAUCGUCAGCGACUGAGCGAAAGCAUUAAGUGAUCCACCUGGGGAGUACGAUCGCAAGGUUGAAACUCAAAGGAAUUGACGGGGGCCCGCACAAGCGGAGGAACAUGUGGUUUAAUUCGAUGAUACGCGAGGAACCUUACCUGGGCUUAAAUGUAGAGUGCAUGAUCGGGAAACUGAUCUUUCCUUCGGGACUAUUUACAAGGUGCUGCAUGGUUGUCGUCAGCUCGUGCCGUGAGGUGUCGGGUUAAGUCCCAUAACGAGCGCAACCCCUAUCGUUAGUUGCCAUCCGGUCAUGCUGGGGACUCUAACGAGACUGCCGGUGUAAACCGUGAGGAAGGUGGGGAUGACGUCAAGUCAGCACGGCCCUUACGUCCAGGGCUACACACGUGCUACAAUGGCCAGUACAAAGGGCAGCUAGUUGGUGACAAGAUGCUAAUCUCUAAAGCUGGUCUCAGUUCGGAUCGGAGUCUGCCACUCGACUCCGUGAAGUUGGAUUCGCUAGUAAUCGGAUAUCAGCCAUGAUCCGGUGAAUACGUUCCCGGGCCUUGUACACACCGCCCGUCAAGCCAUGGAAGUUGGGGGUACCUGAAGUCCGUCACCGAAAGGAGCGGCCUAGGGUAAAACCGAUGACUGGGGCU